AAGGGUGAUAAGUUUCAGUUACGUUGAAUAGGUCCUAUUUAGGCACUCUUU
rnacentral:tRNA from 1 species